GGUAUGUAGCGAGGUUAAGUACUUAAGGUACGGAGCCGAAGGGAAACCGAGUCUGAAUAGGGCGACUAGUUGCAUGCUGUAGACCCGAAACCGGGUGACCUAUCCAUGGCCAGGUUGAAGCGAGAGUAAAAUCUCGUGGAGGACCGAACCACGUUGGUGUUGAAAAACCAUGGGAUGAGCUGUGGAUAGCGGAGAAAUUCCAAUCGAACUCGGAGAUAGCUGGUUCUCCUCGAAAUAGCUUUAGGGCUAGCGUCGGAUAUGAGUAAUGGAGGUAGAGCACUGAAUGGGCUAGGGGGCAUAGCGCUUACCGAACCUUAUCAAACUCCGAAUGCCAUAUACUAUUAAGUCCGGCAGUCAGACUGCGAAUGAUAAGAUCCGUGGUCAAAAGGGAAACAGCCCAGAUCGUCAGCUAAGGUCCCAAAGUGUAAGUUAAGUGGAAAAGGAUGUGGGAUUUCUAAGACAACUAGGAUGUUGGCUUAGAAGCAGCCACUCAUUUAAAGAGUGCGUAAUAGCUCACUAGUCGAGAGAUCCUGCGCCGAAAAUGUUCGGGGCUCAAACUUACCACCGAAGCUACGGGCUUAAGUUAAACUUAAGCGGUAGAGGAGCGUCGUAAUCGGGCUGAAGUCGUACCGGAAGGAGCGGUGGACUGAUUACGAGUGAGAAUGUUGGCAUUAGUAGCGAGAUGUGAGUGAGAAUCUCACAGGCCGAAAACCUAAGGUUUCCUCAGGAAGGCUCGUCCGCUGAGGGUUAGUCGGGACCUAAGCCGAGGCCGAAAGGCGUAGGUGAUGGACAAUCGGUUGAUAUUCCGAUACCACUAUUAAUCGUUAAAACCGAAGGCGUAACGCAGGAGGAUAGGAUGUGCUAGCUAUUGGAUGCUAGUCUAAGCACUUAGGGAGUUCAGCAAGGCAAAUCCGGCUGAACAAUUCUGAGGUGUGAUGGGGAAGGAACUACGGUUCCGAAGUAUCUGAUUCCACGCUGCCAAGAAAAGCGUCUAGGGAGAGAGGUAGUGCCCGUACCGCAAACCGACACAGGUAGGUGAGGAGAGAAUCCUAAGGCCGGCGGAAGAAUCACAGUUAAGGAACUCGGCAAAUUGACCCCGUAACUUAGGGAGAAGGGGUGCCUACGCAAGUAGGCCGCAGAGAAUAGGCCCAAGCAACUGUUUAGCAAAAACACAGGUCUCUGCUAAAGCGAAAGCUGAUGUAUAGGGGCUGACGCCUGCCCGGUGCUGGAAGGUUAAGGGGAAUACUUAGCGCAAGCGAAGGUAUGAACUUAAGCCCCAGUAAACGGCGGCCGUAACUAUAACGGUCCUAAGGUAGCGAAAUUCCUUGUCAGGUAAGUUCUGACCCGCACGAAUGGCGUAAUGACUUGGGCACUGUCUCAACUGUGAAUCCGGCGAAGUUGUAGUACGAGUGAAGAUGCUCGUUACCCGCGAUUGGACGGAAAGACCCCGUAGAGCUUUACUGUAGCUUAGCAUUGAAUUUCGGUAUUGUCUGUACAGGAUAGGUGGGAGACUAGGAAGUCAGGGCGUCAGCCUUGAUGGAGUCAUCCUUGGGAUACCACCCUGACAGUACUGAGGUUCUAACUGGAUGCCAUGAAACUGGUGACAGGACAUUGUUAGGUGGGCAGUUUGACUGGGGCGGUCGCCUCCUAAAAAGUAACGGAGGCGCCCAAAGGUUCCCUCAGAACGGUCGGAAAUCGUUCGAAGAGUGCAAAGGCAGAAGGGAGCCUGACUGCGACACCCACAAGUGGAGCAGGGACGAAAGUCGGGCUUAGUGAUCCGGUGGUACCUCGUGGGAGGGCCAUCGCUCAACGGAUAAAAGCUACCUCGGGGAUAACAGGCUGAUCUCCCCCAAGAGUCCACAUCGACGGGGAGGUUUGGCACCUCGAUGUCGGCUCGUCGCAUCCUGGGGCUGAAGUAGGUCCCAAGGGUUGGGCUGUUCGCCCAUUAAAGCGGCACGCGAGCUGGGUUCAGAACGUCGUGAGACAGUUCGGUCCCUAUCCGUCGCGGGCGUAGGAAAUUUGAGAGGAGCUGUCCUUAGUACGAGAGGACCGGGAUGGACUGACCUCUGGUGUACCAGUUGUUCCGCCAGGAGCACAGCUGGGUAGCUAUGUCGGGAAGAGAUAAACGCUGAAAGCAUCUAAGCGUGAAGCUCACCUCAAGAUUAGAUUUCCCAUAGCGUAAGCUAGUAAGAUCCCUUGAAGAACACAAGGUUGAUAGGUCAGAGAUGUAAGCAUGGUAACAUGUUCAGUUGACUGAUAC
rnacentral:ncRNA from 1 species